UGAGAGUUACAAUGACUGCUAUGGACACCAAUACAGGAGAGACAAGUUUUGUUGCAGUGGGGCAGAUGAAGGCAUCCUGUUGUACUGAUGUAAGUACCGUAUUUUUCGCUCCAUAGGGCGCACCUGACCAUAGGGCGCACCUAGUUUUCAGAGGAGGAAAAUACGGAAAAAAAUAUUCUGAAUCAAAUGUUGCACUAAACUAUUUAAAGCAGCAAAGCGGGCGGCUCCUGUCCACUUUGCUACUUUAAAUUGAGCCUCAGAGGAGGGUAGGAAGGGGAACCAUGACUUAUCUAAGUCCAGUUAAUAAUGCUGAGCCUGACUUAUGGCCAUCGAGAUUAGCCUGGCCGUCUCAGUGGAAAUCUGGGGAGGCUGGGGUGGAUUUUCAGUGGUCAAAGUGUGGUUGUGUCUUCCUGCCCGGCAUCUAUUUCCUGCCGUCUUUCCCCCUGCACCCCCCGCACCUUGCUUCGAGGGAAGGAAGCGGAGCCAUGGAUCCUCCUCGCAACUGCAGUGGAUUCCCUUCAAUUUGAAGCAGGAAAGUGGGAGAGGAGCUGCUUACACAAGUGUAAGCUGCUCCCGUCCCACUUUCCCGCUUCAAAGGGAGCCCGGGAGGAGGAAAUCUGCUGCAGCCGUGAGCAGCGGAGGAUCCAUGGUCCCCUUCCUUCCCUCCUCCGUAGCUGCUUCGAAGCAGGAAAGUGGGAGAGGAGCUGCUUACAUGAGUGUAAGCUGCUCCCCCCCCACACUGCCGCUUCAAAGGGAGCCCAGGAGGAGGGAAUCUGCUGCAGCUUCCCCCACCUCCCGCAGAAGCCGAGCGCUCUUUAAAGGGACUGCGCGGCUUCUCCUGGCUUUUCUUGGAGGUGGGGGGAUUCCCCCACCUCGUAGAAAAGCCUGCAGGAGCCGCACAGCCUUUAAAGAGGGUGCCACUCUUGGGGGCUUUUCCCCCAGGAGGGAGAAGGGACUGAUGCGGCCAGUCAGUCCCUUCUCCCUCCUGGAGAAAAGCCCGCAAGAGCGCACGAAGCUUUUGUGCGGCUCUUGAGGGCUUUUCCCGCCUGCCUCCCCCCUGCAUUCGCUCCAUAGGACACACACACAUUUUCCCUUGCUUUUUAGGAGGGAAAAAGUGUGUCCUAUGGUGCGAAAAAUACGGUAUAUCUUCUUUCGGUGCUCCUCCCAGCAGUUAUUCUUCCUCUGGUCACUCCUGAAGAUAUAUGAACUAUCUCUAGGUGCUGUGGUCACCCACAAAGGAUUCCCACACAGUGGGGUUAAUAUUGCCAUCCUUCAUAUCAUGUUUGCAGACAUCUUUGUAACGUGGAGUUGGUCUGCCAAUGGGCCUGGUGCCUGAAGCCAGCUCCCUUGGGGAUCCUACCAUCUCCCAUUCUGUGGACAUGACCAAGGCAGCAUAGACAUGACCAAGGCAGCAUGAGACAGAAGUGCGAACAUGCUGGAAACAUGGGCUGGGCAGAGCACAUAUUGGUUUGAGAUUCUGUGCUGCCAUGUGAGAUCCCAAAAUCUUCCUGACGCAGUGCAUGUGGAAGGUGUUGAGGCAAUGCUCCUGGCAAAUAUAAGUUACCUAUGAUUCACUACCAUAAAAACAGUGUGCGCCACAUGCAAGCCUAGGAAACCUUCAUCUUGGUAUUGGUUGUUCGCAUCACAUUCUCUCAUCCCCUUUUGGAGAGAUAAGCCAUUGCUGUAGCUGCCUUGACCAGCUCAACAUCGAUGGAAAGAUUGCUGGCUAUGGCGGAGUCCAGGUAUACAAAAUCAUCUACCACCUCAAGCAUGUGGUCACCAAUGCUGACGUCUUGCUGGCGACAUCUUGACCCAGGAAGCUGAUCUUCAUCAAGCUGAUAGUAAGGCAGAACUUGGGGGAAAUCGUUGAUGAACUCCUGUAAAGCUUCCUCAGAGUGCGCUGCCUAGGCUUCCGUGUUUAUGAUUUCUAUAUGGCCACUGAUAACUGCUAUGUAUAAAAAAAUAAAAUAGUGAGUAUGUAUAGAUGGUAUAUUACACCAGUGAAAUUAGCUAGAAUGUAUAAAAUAAGUAAUAAAUGUUGGAAAUGUAAGGAAAAGGAAGGCACUUUUUAUCAUCUGUGGUGGGAAUGUAAGAAAGUGAAAGGCUUCUGGGAAAUGAUUUAUAAUGAGAUGAAAAAGAUGCUGAAAUAUACAUUUAUAAAAAAACAACCCAGAAACAUUUUUACUUGGUAUUGUAGGCACUGACAUUAAAAGACAAGAUAAAAAACUGUUUUUAUACGUGACAAUUGCAGCAAGAGUAUUAUUGGCACAGAAAUGGAGGCAGGAAAAACUACCAACAAAAGAGGAAUAGCAGAUGAAAUUGACGGCCUACGCAGAAUUGGAUAAGAUGACAGGAAGAAUUCAAAACCAGCAGGACCA